UACAGGAAUUUGUGUAUGAUUGGCAAAGUAUAGUUCGAAUUUCUGUAGGGAUCUCAAGGUAGUAAAGGCAGCAGGCAUUUGAACAAUAUUCUUGUACUCCUGAAUCACUAUCCAAAACUGAGUGGAUGAGAAGAUAGGAUUCAAUGAAAUUGAGAAAGCAAAUACUGUGGUGUAAGAAAUAGAUGCAUUGUUCUGUUGAUCCUUUGGGAGAAAUGGCCAAUGAUUAGAGCAUAGACAUCAACUUGUUGAUAUUGAUUGUUACUGAAGUUCGUAAUAAAAUUUCCCAAUGAGAAUCCUGCUGAUCAAUCUUGGCAUCUGAACUAGAAGAAGAUUGAUUUGAAAUCUGAUUAAUACACUGUGAUUGUUAAACUUGUAUGAGUUCUCUGAUCUUGGCUUGGUAUCCUAGUGGAUAUCCAUGAAUUUGUAACCCUUCUCAAUGGUAUGACCAUGAAAAUUACAAUUAGUGCAAAGGGUCUAUCCUUUUUCUGUCCUUUAUAACCUCCGAUUAUUUCCUAGAAUGAUAUCCCCCAAAAUUCCUCUCAGAUUCAAAUUCCCAAAUUUAUAUGAAUUGACAUUCUGAAAAUCUCCUUGAACUAUCAUUCUUACAGCAAAUGCCAUAUAUCAGUGGAAUUGGAACUUGAUUUGUAUGAACACCUACUUUCUUUGAUGUUCUUCUUGUGAAAUAAGGCAAAGACCUUUAUUUAAGGAGGUAAGAUCCUAAUGAGUAAUUGACCUCUUAUUUUGCAAAGAAUCCUGCAAUCCCAUAAGAAUUACAUGAUAUAUUCCAUGUUGUAAUGAGAAUUAAGCUUCUUGACCCCUCCACAAGUACAUUUAUCACACGAACAUGUUGGUCUGUAAUUGUUCAAUUCUUCCCAUAUGAUUUUUAGUUUGGUGAAGUAAACACUGAUAAAGGAGAUUGAUCUUUUAUUGAUUCAUCAAAUCCUACGUAAUUGAAAAAUUCUAGGCCUAUUGCUUUGUUACAAUCUACCUUUGAGAUCAAGCAAAUCUCAUAGCAAAUCAGAAUAGAUUUACACUAGGAAGAAAUUUCCUUGAAAUAGAGUUUAAAAUCCAGGAAUCCUACAUUGUUAUUUCUGAUCCAUGAUUAAGAAGGUUCAUAUCAUUAACCCCGCAGGUUUUGUGAUGGUUCCAUCAUGAAACCAACUGUUCUUGACUGACAGAGCAAUCAGCUUGCUCGAUUCCAGAAGUAUAAUGUCUCCUAUUAAAAACUUGAUACUAGAACUAAUCUGUGCCUCAGAAUGAUGAAGAAAGUAGAGCCUCAAGUUCAUCAAUGGCUGAUCUGCAUUGAUGAUCUUGAGUUUUCAAGAUUGUCAGAUUCGAAGUAAUCCAUAGAUGCAAGAAAUGAUAAAUCAGAAGUGUAAAUCAUAAGGAAGAAAACAAAGAAAAGGAAGCAGCCGUGUGCUCUGAACUUUGAAUGAGAGAAUGAAUUUUCUUAUUAUUUAUGAUCAUCUGUUCUGGGUAUCUAUACAUUGAGAUUGUUUUUACAUUCAAGAUAAAGAUAGGAAGAAAGAGAUAAGGAGAAAAUAUAUCAGUCAGUCAGACUGUUCUAACAGAUAAGAUGCAUAACACUAACUAACUACUGACUAAUGCAGCUUCUAACGCCUGUGUACUCCAUGAAUUGCAACUAAUAACGCCAUCUUCUUGAUAUGAGUGUAUCCUAAUAUGAAUCAUUUCUAUAAUGUAAGAGGAGGUGGUCAUUUUGUAUUGUUUAAUUUCUUGAAGUACUUACCUAGUUGAUAUUGUACCAGAUAAUGUACCACAAUGUAAUUUCCAUUACUAUAUAUAUGUCUGACUUACCGGUUAUGGCUUUGAUUGUCAAACUACUCGUUUGAAGAGCUAGUGCCAGCCAAGAGGCGCUUCGCUACCACUAUUCAAAGUGUCCUCUUAGAGUCUUCUUAAAUUCAACCAUUAUGGUUGACAAGCCUAAAUAAGACGUUAAGAGUACUAAUUCAUUGCAAUGAGUAGAUUAAUUGUGGCAUUGAUGAUGCAUUUUGCACAGUUGUAGUUGUGAUCAGAUGCAAGUUUACUUUUGGUGGAAAAGUUGCUUAGUCUACUUUGUCAAAUUGAAGAGAAACAGUUUUAUAUGACCAAGUUGUUAAUUAGGUAUUUCUGUUUGUUUGUAAGAUCACUUCCGUUUUAGAUCUUGUUCUAGUAUGCUUUUUGUUUAGCAGCUUGUCGUUGGGGUGGCUUCCAUCAUUUUGCAAAACCUCUCGUUCCUGUUUUGCAAGUUUAAUUUGUACGUACCCGUGUCUCUUUGCUUGUUGAGAGUGUCUGCAUGCUCUCCACUUGUUACCAUUUCUGUCAGUUCCAUUCCUAAGAAUUUCAGUACUAUGGAAUAAUAUCCUGGCUACAAUAUUAUUUGUUGGGCUAUAAACCUUUGUUUUGAUGGAGGUUUUUUUUUAUUUGAUUAAUUGAAAUUCUGAGUUUGUAUUUUUUCAUUGUAGGCUUACUUUUGGCUACCAUUAGGCCGUGUUUUAUUUAGUAAUUUGGUGAAUCAAAAAAAAAGAAGGGAAAACUUAUGCAACUAGGGCAAGUACAAACGAACUAGUGGUCUGCUAGAGAGAUGAUGGUUAGUUGUAAUAUUGGUCUGGGCAUAGUGAAUGUGGUGUAGGCAUUGUGGCUGAGGCAGGGCAGUUUGCUGAAUUCAUGUGGACGGGUUCUCUAUGGUGACUGUGUGGGAGUUGGGAAAUAACCGCCAUGUUUUUUUUGGCAAAACCUAGAGUCAUUUAAGCAAGAUGGUUAACCUGGUGGACAUAGUUUAAAUCUAUAAUAUAUCCAAUGUUUUGAAUAUUUAAACAAUCUCCUAUUAGCCUAUGGUUUGUCAUUUAGUUGAGUUAAUUUAAUAGCUAAAAAAUAUUACUUCAUUCUUUUUAAAAUUGUGGGGCCCACAUAGGUUGUGUCGGUUUGUGAUCUGAAGACGCAAAAAACCUCUACAACUAGGUAUAUUUUUUAUCCAUUGAUUAAUUUUUAGUGGGACUCACAAAAAAACCACAAAAUCCUUCUUUCUUCCCUCCUCAGUUCUCCUAAACUAACAACACUUUUUCAAAAUUAUUGUACUUUAAUUUGUUUCUCCAUGUGUAGCAAUGUACUCAUCGUAUAUACCGCAAUAUAUCUUUUAUUGACGUUAUAUCUUAUCUAUUAUUUAGGUUGUAAAACUCUAAUAAGUGUCUUAAGAGAUCGUUUUUUUAUGUACGUGGUAACGGUCAAUUGCUAGUUCUUAUAAACGUUGUAAUUUAACAAUCUAGGGUUGCUGAUUAAUUAUCAUGACCUUUAAUGAGUUUAAAAUUUGUUGACUCCCCUUCUUCUCUAUCUCUCACUUUCAGGAUAACCAAUAAACUUUUCCGGAUGGAAAAAGAACCUUAUUAGGGUAGUUAUCCUAUUCUUUAUAGAAAAAGAAAAGGGCAAAUAAACUCUUCAAUAAGAUUAUUAUCCAUCAAUGUUUCUUUAUUAUCUUAAAAUAAUAUUUUUUCAUAAUCUAAUUAUAAUCUAAAUAAGUUUAAACGCUCAACAAUAAAUGCCUUACUCUAACGUUUAGUCUAAAUGCAAUAAACGGCAUAAAAAAUAGUGGAGACUAAUAGGCCACCAAUAAAUAAAAAUAAAUACGAGAUUAAACUUUUUUCCAUUGACCCUGAGUCCGAUAGUAGUGUAAGUCAUAUAUUUUGUUAACUAUAUGCAUUUUUAUUUUAUUUUAAUGACCGAGUGACUCUACACUUAAAACUUUGACACUUGAUCACGAAUUUAAAAAUUAUCAAUGGUUCAACCAAAUUACAUGCUUUAAUAAUUUGAUUAAAUUAAAAUCACCAAAUUAAUCAUAGCGGUAAUACAACAUUAACACAUAUUCCCUUCGAUUUACCACAUCCAUUGAUACUUUCAUUAACCCAAUCCAUAAUCGUAAAAAAAUAUGGCAUACAUAAGGUAACAUGCCUAUAAAGCCCGCCUAUAAUUUUGUCUGUCAAAACUUGCUUGUUCAAUAUAAAAAUAAUAUUGAACACAUAAUUGAAUAAAUAGGAACAAAUUAAUCUUAUGCAAAAAUAUUGUCAAACCCAUAACAACUUAAUCAUAAUAGUGGUGCUCUUUUUAAUUUUAAUUGACACUUAUUGUUUUUAUGGACUCGUUCUCUAAACUAAAUACUAUCCUCUUAUUUGUUUGAAAACAUUAGAGUACUUUUUAUUAUUAGAGAAAAAUAUUAUCACAAAAUCAUUACAGUAAUUUUCCAGUAGCCUGGUAAUUGAGUCAACAACAUCAGCUAGAGUGAUGAAGUUCGGCACCACAACACUGACAGUAGCAUCACAACAGCACAAACUCGAUUCCAUCUUGGAUGAAGGCAAUAAGUGAUUGCUUCUCAUCUCUCUCACAAAAUCGCUUAUAUUCUAAUAGAAAGACAAAUCUGAUAUUGCCCUCUAAUCGGGAAUAAUGAAUGAAAUUGAGUCCAAAUGCCGAUCACAUUCAAAUAAUCUGAUCUUUUAUAACCAAGUAACAUAAUUUUAGUUUCGCUGAUAUAUCUCAUAAUAUUCUUCACUAUUUUCCAGUGCUCUAUCCUAGGAUUUCUUGAUACGUCCUUACAUCCACUAUUUUACCCCGCAAUCUGUGGUGUAACAUUUCUUGUUAUACCUGAAGGACAUUUUGAAAUUAUUAGUUUCAGCGUGGGUGAUAAAUUAGAUUGGAAGUAUUGGUCGCAUUUCAAAGUAAGGAAAACAAAUAUAAUUAGUAUUCCAAUAAAUAUUCAAGGAUUCAUUUAUAUUAUAAAUCACUCAUUUUGAAUCUUAAAACUAUCUUCCACUAUUUACGGUUAAAAUCCAUAUGAGUUAAUCCAACGGCAAAGAUUUCACCUGAGACUAUUUUUUUCUCCCAAAACUAUCACUUCAUUCUUCUCAAAGAUGUGGGAUCCACAUAGGUUCUUAUUCAAUGGACAAAAAAUCUCUACAUCUGGACAUAUACUUUACCCCUUAGAUCAUUUUUUUAGUGGAACCCACACCCAAAAAAACUAAAAUACCUCUUUCUUUUUCGCUAUUUCUCCUACACUAACCAAAACUUUUUUUAAAAUUAUUAUAGUUUCUAAGUAAUGUAUCUCUUCUUAUAUGUAUAUAAUAUAUCCUUUUAUCUGACUUUAUAUUUAUCUUUUUUUUAAUUGUAAACUCUAGUCUGAGUACGUUUAAGUUGGUGAUGUUUUUUUUAUAUAGUACUUGUGGGACAGGCAAUUACAGUUAGCUAAUAACAAAUAUGUGAUGGUGGGAUAAGUACCAAACUAUUAGUAUUCCAAUAAAUAUUCCAAGGAUUCCAUAGCUGUAAACAAAUAUGUGAUGGGUGGGAUAAGUUGGACUGCAUGUCCAACUUUCUUCCUAAUCCUUUUGUGAUUGUCAUAAUAGGGAUUGGAAUGAAUAGCCAAACCCAUGAAUGAACGUGCCUAGAUUAUAAUGUCAGUGGGAGUGGAAAGUUUCAAUUCCUAGAUAUAGUGGGCCAGUGGAAUUGGAGAAAGGCUUCCACAUGCAAUGUAAGAAUAAGAGAGACCAACAGAUACAUGACAUGCACAUAUUGUCAAAAAGAGACAAAUAUUAUAUAAUUUCCGAUUUGAGAAAGAUUAUGAUGAGAUUCCACUCAAUAUGUAUAUUUGUCAGUUUGCCAACUUUCCCCCAGUUCUUGUGCAAGUGGAAGAUAUGAAUAAGAAUAAAGCCGUCCACAUUUAACUACUUAAAGUCAGGCUAAUAAAACACCAGAUCUCAUACAAGUGGAAAUCACCAUUAAUGAAUUGGAUUCGCUCUCUUUUUUUAUCCGCAAAAGUAAUAUUUGAUUAUACUAUCAAACCUUAUAACAUGAAAAAGGAAAAAAAAAAAAAAAAAAAAAAAAAGGAAAGCCAUGAUGGGCAUGAGAUUGGGGAAAAAACCAACAGCUUAUCCUAAUGCAAAUUUCUAACAUAUAAAUAUGAUACUAGUUAGCAAGAUACUGCAUAAACCAAACUCCCAACGUAGUAUUCUAUACGCUAGAGUAAUACUCAAUUUUUAUCAAAAUCUAUUCUACACUUCACAAUGUCCAAACACAUUCAAAUUCUUUUACCAGAAUGCAUUGAGAUUUUUCAAAAUCUUUCACUUUUCAAAGCCUUUUUUAUCCACUCCUUCACUUACUUCGUCGAAUUUCCCUUUUUCCUUUCAGGGGUGGUCCUCCUUGUUUUAUAGAUUUUUACUAUAUGAUGUUUUCGCAUCGGGGGGGGGGGGGGGGAAACAAUUUCUUACCAGUUUUCGUUAGCUCAACCAACGAAUUUAAGAGAAUGGUUUAGAUUUUAUCACAUAGUUUAUUAAUAUUUUUUAUGUGAAAUUUUUUUUUUUUCUACGCAAUUUCACUUGAUCCCUUGUGGUUGGCCAUGAUUAGAUCUAUUGCUUUAAUAUUUUAAAAUCACCACAUAACUCUUUGUGAUUUGUGAGUAACGUGCAACGUCUCAUUUUUUAUCUAACUAACCAGUGCACUUCAUUUGCUAAUAAUAAGAGUGAAUCUGUUUUAAGGCAAAAAAUGUCCCAACAAGAUCUUUAAAUAUUCAAAAGAAUGUUAUUGUCUCUCUUUUUUGUUCUCUCUACAUUUUACUUUCCAAUGUCUCCACUGCACUCUCCCUCCUCUCUUUCAACUCCCCCCCUCCCAAUUCCCUUCGUACUUAUACAUAAUGAAUAUAUCCUAUUGUUUAAUAGAUGUAGGAUUGAGUAUGUGCUUCUCUUAUUUGUGUGUGAAUGGGAAAUUGAUGCGGUGAAAGGUCAAUUUAUAUAUUUUGUGACGUAGAGUAAGGUCACAAGGGACGGAAACGCUAUCUCAAAAAAAAAAAAAACUAUAAUAUUAGAGUCCUUGAACCACAAGGAAAAUAAGGAGAAAAUUUUUUAAAAAAUUUUAUUGAUUAAAAAUGGACUUGCCUCUAAAGUUACAAUAUGCUUAAAUAAUAAUUAAAACCAUAAUUCGCGUAGCCGAGAUUAGGACAGAAAAUAAAAAAAAUCUAAUCAAAAAAAAAAUUGAGUAAUACCUAAGAUCAAUUCAUACUCUACUAGUAAACAUUUCCCAACAAACGGCAUUUAAGUUGGAUUUUAAAUUAAAAGUUAGAACUAAAAUAAUAAUUAUUAAAAACAGCAAAUUCCCCUUUUGGGUGGGCAAACGAUGAUUUUUUCUGAAACUGCCAGGGCUCAUGGCCAAAGGCCAUGAGUUCUGACCUCUCGAGAUUCCAUAGACCAUCAAGUAUCACGCAAGUCAGCCGUCUGUGAUUCCUACUAUCACUUACCUGCUUUCGAAUUUCCUACAGCGCGGGUUUACUAUGCUAUCGGCUGCGGUCAAGGAAAUCUUGAGUGGUCUAUUCUUGGGAACCUUAGGAACACUGCCUCCUGAAGGGAUCGAGGACUACCUCAUAAUCAUUCUGGUAGAAUACCUCCCUUUAUGCAAGGACAUCCAAAUCAUGUUGCCAAGGCUAUGGGUCCAAAACAGGUGAACGCAUCGAUAUCACCACUUUACACAACUUCGUCAACAUAGUAAUUACCAAUAGAAAAAUUAAUUCGACAAGAUAUGUACUAACUUCCCACUCCCUAUUAAUCCAGCCAAUCGUGUAAGAGUUCGGGUGCUUCUUAUCUUCACACCUAACUUGUAAACCAAACUUUUGAGACUAUGUUCUCUCCACUCCGCUGUCAAUGAUGAGAUCACAGGACCCGCUUGUUGAGGGUACACCGUCCCCAAAAGAUUCUGUGCAUUGGCUAGAAACUACUCUCUUAGGUGUCAGCAACCACUUCUGGAUCACCAGAGAUCGCCCCAGUUGUUCACACUAUCGUCAUCCUGAAAUUCAUUAGGGGUCAUGAGGAAUAAGGGUCGACAUUCAUCAUCAUCUCCGCAUUCAUCUUACUUUGUACUGGUUCCCUAAGUUCACAGUUGCCCUCUUUGCGACACGAUGUGAAACGAGCCAGGUGCUCACAGCUGUAACAACUUAUCUCCCGAGGCCUUGGCGUAUGGAUUAGGCGUGUCCCCCAUUGAUGUGUAUUUGAUCCCCAUAGUUUAUUGCCUCGUCUGACUCUUAUACUGCUAGUCUCCUUAUUAGUCACAAGCUGGAGCUGUAGGGAAGGUACUGGCUAUUUCCUAUUCGAACAUUGGGAUUUGUUGGGAUUCAACUUUCUUGGCUUAGGUCAAGCUUCAUUCAGUGAAUACAGGAAUUUGCAAGGAUACUUGGUCUCGACUCGCUACCCUCAGCCCGUUCACAAAUCUAGCAAUCUGCUGAUCCUCUGAUUCCGACCAAUUUGUUGGGGCUGAUAAUUUGUAAAAACCCUCUGUAUAGACCUUACUAGUUUGAAUUCCUUGGCUACACUCUUGAUAUUGUUGAACAACUCUGCUGGUAAUAUGGUAGUAGGAAUCGCUCUUCCAUAACUUCCUCAUCAUUCCCAUGUACGUAUCGGGGACUUCCCUAACGGGCACAACCUGUUGUAAGUUGGUCUACCAUGCUGAUGCUCCCCCCUUUAAUUAUAUGCCACAGUUUUACUUGCCUUUUAGUCUGAUCCCAUGUACUCAACGAAUCGUUAAACGUCGAUAAUCCAAUCUAAGAAUCCCUGGAUCUGAAGGGUACCAUGAAAGACGGGAGAUCCCAUCUUCUACGAGUAGUCCCGGGAUUCAAAAUCCCAAAAUACGACCUCCUUGCUCAUUAUUCCCUACGCCACGAUCCCUCUGCCCACGACCUCAUCACGCUCCCCACCUAAAACUUCAUGGGCAUAGGCUUCAUCUUCAUGCUCUCAUCCUCGUAGGCUGGGGGCCUAUUAUUUUUAAAUUAAUUUAAAUCAGGGGAACUAGACGCGACCAUAACUAAGGUGGUCACGCUCGUGAUGCUCUUGGACGCCGUCCAGCGACACCAUGGUAGGGGUCCCGAGGCAAAAAGGGCAGCGAUUGCUUGCUACCAACCGCGCAAUAUAGCUGGGUCUCUGUUGAAACUGGCAAAAUUAACCCGGGUGAAGAUUGUCCGUGCUUCCUCAUUGAUGCUACCUUCUCGCGUAUUAUCCAUCAGGACAAGGGUAAGACAAGGCUCUGAUACCAACGACGCAGGCGGGAUGCAUAAGAGACAAAAAUACGUCAUCUCAAAACAAGAAAUAAACCUAGAAAUCAUUAGGGUCCUGAAUCCACAAGAAAUAGGAGUAAAAUUCGCUGAACUUUUAUGAAUUAAAAAAAACGACUUGCCUCUAAAGGUCUACAAGCCGCUAAAUAAUAAGUAGAAAUUCUAUUCGACGUUAAGUACGGAGUUUAGGCAAGAAAAUAAAGAAGAAAUACUCAAAAACAAAUUUUGAGUUAAUACCUAAAUCAACUGCUACUCUGCUUAGGAAAAAAUUUCCCAACAACGGAAUUAAGUUGGACUUUAAAAUUACUAAAAGCGACAAAAAUUGCCUUUGGGCGGACAAACGAUAGAAAUUUUUGAAAACCGGUGGGGCUUUUGGCCAAAGGCCAUGAGUCUGACCUUCGACGAUUCCAUUCAGACUACCAAGUAUCACAGAAUUCCGUCGUCGGUGCCGGUGAUCCUACUAUCACUUUCUACUUUCGAAUUUUCUACGCGCGGAUUUACUCGAUCCGCCUGAUCGAGGAAGGUUUGAGUGUCCGUUCUACAUCAUUUUGUUAACAAAUUUUUCAAUAUAUUGAACAUUGUUUAGAGGUAAUUGUAUUUAUAUAAUUUAAAUAUCAGUAUUAAUAUUAUUAAAAAAUUAAAUUUUUUUAGAGACAUCUUUGCGACAACGGUGGCCCCGGCCGGUGCUUCUAUGAUGGCAGGCUAUGAUGUUUCCUAGUAUUAGUGUUUUGGUGGCUGUGAAUGCGUGUUACUUUAGCUGUCCUAAGAUUUCGGAAUGUUUCAUUGGGGGGGAGGUCACCAUCAUACAAGUGGGAAUGAAGAACGCAGGUAGGCGCAUACGCUGCACGUCUAAUCCUAAGACUUAACAUCAGCUGAUCAGAAUAUUUCGGAAAGUGAGGAUUCUCAAACAGCAAUACUACGUUCCACCGAAAUUUUUACGAAUUUGUUAUCGAUAAGUACCAACCGAUGACGUUUAGGUACGAAAAUGCUUUUUAGUUUCUUUCCGGUUAAGAAUUUUUUUAGUUGAACGACGUCGUUUUAAUUUUUUUUACACCAAAAAAAACUCGUCGUUUUGGUGCUAUCAGUAACACAUUCGGUAAAACUUUCGAUAACAGGAGGCAAAAAAAAAAAAAAACCCAAAUUUCUGAUCUCAAUUUCAUUCUCAUCUAAAUACUGACAAAUGUUCGUGUGUGUUUGAAAUAAAUUAUGAAUUAAAAAACUGAAAAAAUUAGUAUUCAGGGUUUAUCAUUUACAACUUUUUCUUACUUUUCACUUUCCAGUUUUUCUUUUCACAGUGUUAUCAUAAUUUUUUUUAAUCUUAAUAGCUUUAGACUGUGUUCAAAUGCAGGAUUUAGUGAAAGAAAUAAAAAUAAAUUAAAUGAUUCAUAAUUCUGAACGAUUAAAUUCGUCUAAUUUUUUAUUUUAUUUUUUUUUCUUACGCACAUUUCUUGAUUCCAUAUACAAUCUUAGGACCACAGUUUCUCAUUACUUGGUUCCUAAGCUAAGGCCCAUGUUACGUCUAAUUCCACACCUUGGGAGCUAAUGAGAGUCCUUUUUGUAAAAUGUAAUACAAAAUAUAAAAAAUUUAAUUAGACAGUUGAAAAAAAGUAAUAAAGAGAAAAAAACUCAAAAAACGUAAGUUGGCUAAAUUAGACAAAAGCUCUACCAAACUGGUCUCAACGCAGUAAAUUAAAUCAAAGCUUGCAUGCCCAAACUAGACCUUAAUAUGCACUAGAGGUGCUUGUAUAGGGGAUGCAUGUGCUUUAUGGUUCCUAUUUAUUGCCUUUCCUUAUUCAUUCUUGGAUUAGGUAUUGCAAUUAAAGAGGGCCAUAAAAAUUAACAACUAGGGUACCUAGUAAUAUGAGGAAAGAGGGAGUCGAUCUUGAUCUGCUAAUAAGUUCUAAGGUUUACAAACAUCGAAAAAUAGACAAAUAAAUAUAAUUUCAGAUUCUUCUCGUCAGAGAAACAAGAAACACAAAAAAUGUAUAAAAUUUGAUCAAUGUGUGAAAAAUAUUUUUUAAAAGUCAAAAAGAAAGCAAUUGAAAAAAACUAAUCAAACUCAAACUAAAUCGAUGUAAAUGAACAUCUAGUACCAUAGCAGAGGUCGGAGUUGCCAAAACAUCAGUGCCUUAUUGGUUACAUUUCGUUUUUGUAAUUCGAAAAUUUCUAACUUUUUAAGGCCACAAUUACCGGCCGAAAUCAUAUAGGAACAACUCCAAAAGCACUUUUUAGAUGUGAUUUUAUUAAUUCCACUUUUAUGCUUGGUGUAGCCUGUAAACGGAAUCGGAUCAAUCUGUGAAAAAUUUUUUCCCCCCCCCCCCCCAGAAUACUAUCGAAUACGUUAUUUGAUAAAUCUAUUUAGUUAAUCCGAAUUCAAUUUAAAAUUAUGUUCGAUCCGAUCUAAACUAUUUUUUUUUUUAAAUAUUGAAUGUUUGAAAUGAGAAAAAAAAUUAUAAAAUUUUUCAAAUCGGAUUCAAAGAUGGACAUCUGAAUCCGAUCCGAGAAAUACAGAUUCAGGCCGAGAAUCCAAUCCGAGAAAUGGGAUCAAGUGGUGGGAUUAUAUGGGGAUAUUCGGAUCGAAUUUUUAUUAAUAGAUUCGAAUUUAGAUCGGAUUCGACUUUAAUCUGACUCUAUUACAGCCUCCUUUCUGGGGGCCUUAUGAUUUUGUGUGGUUGAAAAGUUUUCAAUUGAUAAAAUUAAAAAUCAAAAAAAAUCAAAAAAGUAGAAACACAAAGAAACAUUGAUAACUCAUUAAUGUCUUUUGAUACGAGUAUAGGUCCUACCUCUUACUGCCCAUCAGAAGAAAUGUGAAAAUGGCAAAUGUGUGGGGGUGCUCCUCUAUUUCAAAAUCCACCAAUUUUUUAUGGUCACUGUUAGAAGUCGAGAAUUAGGGAAAAAAAAAAAGCCAAUUAACAUCUGCAUUGGAUUGGAUUGAAAUCAAAUAAUUGGGAGUGAAUUACGUGGUGGGGAACUCGAAAUAGCAAUUUUCAAUGUGAGGCUUAUUCUUGUUUCACAUUCCAAAGAAGACCAUUUUAGUGUAUGUAUUUUAACAAAGAAAAAAAAUAGAGAGUCAAUAUCACAGGGAGGAGAGAUGUUUUUCUCACCUAAUAUGAGGGAGAGGGGUCGUUACUUAAAUAAGUGUACUUUAAAUAAAAAUAGUAGCAAUUUCUGGUAAAAAUAAUAUAAAAAAUGCAAUAAUCCUACCAUUAUUUCAUUAUCUCUAAUAUGGGUCAUGAUAUGGGUCAUGCCAUGUGGCGAUAGUUAAAACUAAAACCCGACAAUAUCCAAAACAAUCACAAAUAGAGUUGGUUUAAUUCCGUAACCAAAAUAUUACUGCACCACCGCUACCGCUACCGUUACAGAUGAGAGAUAUUUUUCCCUUUUUUUUUGUAUUCAUAAAAGAUUAAAUGCGCUUCAGAAACAAGUUGCUGAAAAAAUUGACAGUGCUGAAAAAAAAUUGGGCAUUGGCUAAAACAGUUGUGGCAAAAGUUUUUCCAGCGACUAGAUGACAACGUCGACAGCCGCUAGAGGUGGGUAUAGCUGAACUUUGGACAGAGUGAGUUGAGUGGACGAGGGUUUGUAUGUAAUGAGAAAUGAGAAGGGUUGGUAAAAAAUAAUAGGAGCGUUUUUAUUAAUUGUAUUAGAAAUUGUGUAGAAGGACCAUUGAUUCGAAGUCACCAAUUAGAAUUUAACGAGGAUCGAGGUAAUGGCAAAUAGAAAAGAUAUAGAAUCUUACCUUGAUUUUCAAGCUGAUAUAUGGCAUGUUGUCAACAACACAAGUGAAGCAGCAAAGAACACUGCAUAAAAAAUUUGGAAGCUGCAAAAAGUGAUCACUGUAGUUGGUCUACAAUAGGUUUUUAGGCGGGCAUGCAAUUGUCAAAUUUCCCAAAUCAGUGGGACACAAAUGGACCCAAGAUGCUGCCACAUGUCACUGCCACAAAGGGUCCGAAACACUAUAAAAGGCCACCCAAACUCACUCAUUAUGGCAGACCAACUCAACUAGUAUUUCCUCCAUUACAUUUAAAAGAUGUCUUUCAAAUACUUGCUAGUGUUUUCACUUGCAGUGGUGGCUCUCAUCACACUCCACCCUCACUUGCUGAUUACCACAACCCCACCCCUCAUGGGUAAGAAACCACCAAUCCCAUCCCGAUUGGCAAACCUCCCAAGGGUGGAGUGAAGCCACCACCAGAGCACAAGCCACCAACCACAAUUGGCUUACCACCCAAGGGA
rnacentral:lncRNA from 1 species